rnacentral:misc_RNA from 1 species
UGAUACUUGAUAUCUUUCUUUUUAUUCAAAGUUAAAGACGUACGCUUUAAAUAAGUUCGAGUGUUGAAAAAUGGUUUUAAUAAUAUAUUUUUCUCUACUUUUUUUAGUGGUGAGGAAGAAAAAAUCUCACAUCUCGUUUGGUUCAAUAUAGCACCACAUCAUUUCGAAACUAAAUGGAAUCAAAUCAAGAACGUUGUCAUGAAUUUGACUUUUUUAAAGAAAGCCUCUUCCUCCAUCAAUAUCGAGCUUGGCUGUUUGAUUGC